GUUUGGUCCUAGCCUUAUUAUUAAUUAAAAUUAUAUUUAUACAUGCAAGUCUCAGCACCCCUGUGAAAAUGCCCUUUUUUACCAUGAAGCGAACAAGGAGCGGAUAUCAGGCACAUCUAUGCCCACAACAUCUUGCCAAGCCACACCUCUACAGGAAUUCAGCAGUAAUAAACAUUGAAUAAUAAGCGUCAACAAGCUUGAGUCAGUAAUAAUUUUAAGGGUUGGUAAAUUUCGUGCCAGCCACCGCGGUUAUACGAGAAACCCAAAUCAAUAAAAACGGCCUAAAGCGUGGUUAAAUAAUAUUAAACUCAAUAGAAAUAAAAAUUAACUUAACUGUUAUACGUAUUUGUUAAACGGAUACCCAAAACCGAAAGAUAUUCUAAUAAACAAAUUACUUGAACCCACGAAAGCUAAGAAACAAACUAGGAUUAGAUACCCUAUUAUGCUUAGCCUUAAACUUUGGAAACCCCC
rnacentral:rRNA from 1 species